rnacentral:rRNA from 1 species
CAGCAGUGGGGAAUAUUGCACAAUGGGGGAAACCCUGAUGCAGCAACGCCGCGUGAGUGAUGAAGGUCUUCGGAUUGUAAAGCUCUGUCUUCAGGGACGAUAAUGACGGUACCUGAGGAGGAAGCCACGGCUAACUACGUGCCAGCAGCCGCGGUAAUACGUAGGUGGCAAGCGUUAUCCGGAUUUACUGGGCGUAAAGGGAGCGUAGGCGGAUAAUUAAGUGGGAUGUGAAAUACCCGGGCUCAACUUGGGUGCUGCAUUCCAAACUGGUUAUCUAGAGUGCAGGAGAGGAGAGUGGAAUUCCUAGUGUAGCGGUGAAAUGCGUAGAGAUUAGGAAGAACACCAGUGGCGAAGGCGACUCUCUGGACUGUAACUGACGCUGAGGCUCGAAAGCGUGGGGAGCAAACAGGAUUAGA